rnacentral:lncRNA from 1 species
UGAAGUGACGGCCGAGGACGGCUGGAUAUUUGGGGGACUGUCCACCGGAUCCCACAGAACAUAUCUCCUAUCUGGGAUAUUUUCUGAUUUCUGUGUCUGAUUGCUGUGAUGCUUCUUGCGCAAUUUGAGGAAGGUUGGAGGAAUAUGGCCCUGAUUCCCCUGCUGUCGGAGAGAGGCCUAAUGGAGAUGUCUGGGACUUGGCCUACUACUAAACCAACAUGAGCCCUCCCUUUCGCCCUCGGCCUCUCUGUCUCUGGUGGAGGCUCUGGCUCGGAUAAGGUGUCAACUGCAUAGAACACAACUACUAGUUAAUAUGGUGAGUUAUACAAAUUAUGAAAUGGCACAGCCACUCUGA